CGUCAAUCGUCAUUGCUGGCGCAUGAAAAAAGUUAUAUAAGAACCUAUUCCGUUCCACCCACUCCAAUGACUCCAUCAUCAUAACCAUUUCAUAAAAUCAGUAGAUCCAAUGGCAACAGUAGCUGUGCAAGAAAUUCGACCUCCCACUCUGUCUGCAACCUCAGACCCACCACCUAUCUUUGAUGGAACUACCAGGUUGUACAUCAGUUAUUCAUGCCCUUUUGCGCAGCGCGUAUGGAUCACUAGGAACUACAAGGGAUUACAAGAAAAGAUCAAAUUAGUUCCUAUUGACCUUCAGAACAAGCCUGCUUGGUAUAAAGAGAAGGUCCACCCAGAAGGCAAGGUGCCAUCUCUUGAACAUGACGGCAAGAUUUUGGUAGAGAGUAUUGACUUGAUCAAAUACAUAGAUGUCAAUUUCGAAGGACCAUCUCUAUAUCCUAAUGAUCCUACCAAGAAGGAAUUUGGUGAGGAGCUAAUUAAGUAUGUCGAUAUUUUUACCAAAGAGAUGUUUGGAUCAUUCAAAGGCGACCCUGUAACGCAAACAAGUGCUACAUAUGACUACCUGGAGAAUGCUCUUGGUAAAUAUGAAGAUGGCCCAUUUUUCCUUGGUGAAUUUAGCUUGGUGGACAUUGCCUAUAUCACAUUUGUUGAGAGGUUCCAACUUGUGUCAUCAGAGAUUUACAAGCAUGACAUCACUGCUGGAAGGCCUAAACUAGCUACAUGGAUUGAGGUAAAUCCAACUGCCAUUUUAAUCCGGUCAAACUUUUUUUUUCCUCUUCUUUUUCUUUUUGCAGGAGGUAAACAAGAAUAAUGCAUAUAAGCAGACAAAACCUGAAAAUCCACAAGAGUUCGUUGACUUUGUCAAGAAGCGUUUCUUGGGGCAGUAGAAAACAUGAGAUGGCAACAGGUGUUUGAGAACUGAGAGGGGCAUGCAAUAUGAGUAAUAAUGUUUGUGCACUAUCUGAAUGUGUAAUAAUGUUUCUGUAACAGUGUAUAAUGUAUUGUAUAAGUGUAAACACUAAACAAUAUAUCGAAUCAUAUGCUAUAUAAGAAUUUAAUGUUUCUCCUCA